GCAGUUGUGUCGGCUGCAGAAGAGUCAUCAUGUAGACCUGGAUUUGAGUCGGAAUCGUUGAUAUUCAAAGUGAACACAAGUACUCUGAAGCCAGGCACAAGACUGGGCAAAGUUGGAUUCACUGACUGCACAGAUCGAAUCCAGUUUCUUUUCAGCACAGAUGACAGUCACUUUGUGUUGAAUUCUGAUGGAGUGUUAAUUGUGAAAAGAGGAGUUGAUCUUGAUGAAGGACAUCAGGACUUUUUUGUCCACUCCUGGGACUCUGAGGGCAACAAAAUGACAGUUCCUGUCAUGGUCCUGCUUGAGCAUCACUAUGAGAGUUGGGAUGCUGAGCAGCACCAUGGAGGCCGCAGACACCAGAACCAUCACAACACUGGGCUGGAUUCUGCCAGUAUU